AUGGAGAGUUUGAUCCUGGCUCAGGAUGAACGCUGGCGGCGUGCCUAAUACAUGCAAGUCGAACGCGAGAAGGAGGAGCUUGCUCCUCCGGAUCGAGUGGCGGACGGGUGAGUAACACGUAAGAAUUUGCCUUUAGGAGGGGGACAACAACUGGAAACGGUUGCUAAUACCCCAUAUGCUUUCGAGUAAAAUGGAAUUUUCCGCCUAGAGAGAAGCUUGCGGCUGAUUAGCUUGUUGGUGAGGUAAAGGCUUACCAAGGCGACGAUCAGUAGCUGGUCUUAGAGGAUG
rnacentral:rRNA from 1 species